UAAGGAAUAUUGGUCAAUGGAGGCAACUCUGAACCAGCCAUGCCGCGUGAAGGAUUAAGGCCCUCUGGGUUGUAAACUUCUUUUAUAUGGGAAGAAAUGUACUUUUUCUAAAGUGCUUGACGGUACCAUAGGAAUAAGCACCGGCUAACUCCGUGCCAGCAGCCGCGGUAAUACGGAGGGUGCAAGCGUUAUACGGAUUUACUGGGUUUAAAGGGUGCGUAGGCGGAUGAAUAAGUCAGUGGUGAAAUCUCCGAGCUUAACUCGGAAACUGCCAUUGAUACUAUUUGGCUUGAAUAUUGUGGAGGAAAGCAGAAUAUGUCAUGUAGCGGUGAAAUGCUUAGAUAUGACAUAGAACACCAAUUGCGAAGGCAGCUUGCUACACAAUCAUUGACGCUGAGGCACGAAAGCGUGGGGAUCAAACA
rnacentral:rRNA from 1 species